AGGAGGCCCUGAAACCACAGGAAAUGCUGCUCUGAGGGGCUCUGACAAUUACAGCAAGUGUCACGUCGCAUAGUGCUGGCAUCGCAGUGAGCAUCUGCCUCCUUGGCAUUGAGCAGACACGAGGGGUGCAGCAAAGCAGCGAACAGGGAAGGACUGCAUCUCCUGCACAGCCAUAGCCCAGCCCUGGCCUCUCUGUCCAUCCUCUGGGACCCAAUGCACCAGACACAGCUGUCCAGAUGAAAUGGAGGUGACUGAGCAGGAGCCAGCACCCCUCAGAAGCUCAUCAUGUGGCUCAUGCUCAGGAGAAAAGUGCAUCACGUGCAUGGUUGGGACAAAAAGCUGGAGGGGUCUGGCUGUAACCAAGUUCCCAUGGUCAGAUGGAGUUGUUCUCCCCCCCCUACCUCCCUCUUUCCUUUACCCCCUACAACGUAUAAUGCUUUGUUCUACGUGGUCAUGAUAAUCUAGCAUAAACCUGGAUGGCUACUUGGAAGGGCAGUCCCACAGUUCCUGUUCAACCUGAUUGACUGCUCCCUUCCUCCAGCACCAGCACUUCUGUAAUGACAGGGUCAGAGAAUAUGGGAACUGAUCCAGCUGUCAACUAGUUCAAGGAAAAUAGUCAACAUCUGGGGACAUGACAGACUUAUUUCAAGGCCCAAGUGACUGGAAGGAGACCCAGAUGAUGAUCUGGCUGGACCCUAGGAUCCAGAUGCCCUGUUAUGGGGUAGGCAAGCCAUAAGAGAACUCUUAAGAGAGAACUUAAGAGAACUCUAUCAGAGCUCAAGAUAAGCUCAGAAUAGCAACCAAACCUGAAGAAAUCUGCAAAGGCUGUUCAUAGCUCGAUCCAUUUGAAAGAAACAGCCAUCCACCCAGAAAUCUGAAAUAGGCCAGUUUUUCCUUUUACAAACUGUUUACUUUCAUUUCUAAGGUAAUAGGAGUUUAAAGUGCAAAUUUACAAAAGAGAGGAAAACAAUAAAAUACCCCAGUGUUUAUUA